CGGGGUGUAGUUCAGUUUGGUAGAGCGCCUGCUUUGGGAGCAGGAGGUCGCAGGUUCAAAUCCUGUCACCCCGA
rnacentral:tRNA from 1 species